rnacentral:sRNA from 1 species
CAGGGCCUAGUGCACAGGGAUCUGGGCAUGGCGAGGGGAUGAGAAGCUGUGGACGCAAGCCCAGGACAUGGGGUGGCCCCGCAGGGGCUGGAAAGGCUGGCAGAUGUUGGGUGUGGGUGCUGCUCUCCUGCAGGCGUCCCGGCGGCCGGGUCAGGCUGGAUUGGAUGUCUGGUUUCCCAUCCGUGCCCCCACCCGCUACCAAGGUGGCCAACCCUCCCUUGAGCCGGAUGCCAGCCAUGUGCUUUGCUGCACGGGCUGGCAUGGCCUCGUGUUGUGUUGGGGGUCUCGCACCUUCUGUGGAAAGUGCCCUGCCUGGCAUGCGCGGUGUCUGCUGCCUCAUGGCUGAGCUUCCAUCAGGCCGUGUGCCUGUGACCAGCCUCCUGGGCUCUGUCACGGCUGCGCUGUGGCUGUGUGGGGCUGCAGGGCUGUUCAUGGCGUGACCCGAAUCCUUUCCAGGAGCUUCGAGAACAACUGGAACAUUUACAAGCUCCUCGCCCACCAGAAGCCCCCCAAGGAGAAGUCUAACUUCUCCCUGGCCAUCCUGAACGUGGGGGCCCCAGCGGCUGGCAUGAAUGCGGCUGUGCGCUCGGCGGUGCGGACUGGCAUCUCCCAUGGACACACAGUAUACGUGGUGCACGAUGGCUUUGAAGGCCUAGCCAAGGGUCAGGUGCAAGAAGUAGGCUGGCACGACGUGGCUGGCUGGUUGGGGCGUGGUGGCUCCAUGCUGGGGACCAAGAGGACCCUGCCCAAAGGCCAGCUGGAGUCCAUUGUGGAGAACAUCCGCAUCUACGGUAUCCACGCCCUGCUGGUGGUCGGCGGGUUUGAGGCCUAUGAAGGGGUGCUGCAGCUAGUGGAGGCUCGCGGGCGCUACGAGGAGCUCUGCAUCGUCAUGUGCGUCAUCCCAGCCACCAUCAGCAACAACGUCCCUGGCACCGACUUCAGCCUUGGCUCCGACACCGCUGUAAAUGCCGCCAUGGAGAGCUGUGACCGCAUCAAACAGUCUGCCUCGGGCACCAAGCGCCGUGUGUUCAUUGUGGAGACCAUGGGGGGUUACUGUGGCUACCUGGCCACCGUAACUGGCAUUGCUGUCGGGGCCGACGCCGCCUACGUCUUCGAGGACCCUUUCAACAUCCAUGACUUGAAGGUCAACGUGGAGCACAUGACGGAGAAGAUGAAGACGGACAUUCAGAGGGGCCUGGUGCUGCGGUGAGGCUGCCAUGGGUCCCCGGCCACAGCUGAGCUUCCAACCCUCGGGGCUAGGGGUGGGGCUGCUGAGGAGCUGCUGGGCAGGAGAAGGCAGGAGGGGUCCUUGGAGAGGGUGGGCCAGGGCGGCUUUCCUGGGAGCUGCCACUCCCUCUCCCAGGCCUGGCCCAGCGGGGACUCAGGAUCUGGGGGAGACCUGAACUCGUUCCCCGCUGACUCAGGCCCUGCUGUCCCUCUCAGGAACGAGAAGUGCCAUGACUACUACACCACGGAGUUCCUGUACAACCUGUACUCAUCAGAGGGCAAGGGUGUCUUCGACUGCAGGACCAACGUCCUGGGCCAUCUGCAGCAGGUGUGGGGCAGGGGUGAGGCUCUGAGAGGCCUGCCCCUCUUCCCUGCCACCAUCUGUCCCUGGGCCCAGAGGUCCCAGCCCUCACGGGCACCCACAGGCACUCCCUGCAGGCCCUCGGGCACGUGUGCCCUUCCCCAGUGAGGGGACUGAGGCCUGUAUCUAGGUGAGGUCUCAUUCCAAGAAGGGGUGGGGCUGGGGCUGGAGCCGGGGCCCAAGCCAGGGCACUCACAUGCUGAGCCGAGCUCCCCACCCCUGCCAGGCCUCCCGCGGCCACUUCCGCCGAGCCCCUCACCUAGAUCCUGGUAUGUUCCCUGCCUUACGGUGGCCCUGCAGGAAGCCUGCGUCCUGGGGUUUUCUGAGCCAGGGAGGGGAGUCAGGGUGGCUGGGCCUGGGGCCCGAGGUGAUGGGGCUGGAGGUAGGGCCGCUGGCUGCCGAUGCAGGGCCCAGGAGUCACUUGACUUGGCCAGGGGGCAGCCGACUGCCGACCUCGGGAGGCAGCUUCUGGCCUGGACUUGGAGCUGGAGAGAGCAGGCAGGGUCCUCGAUCGGGAACAGACGGGAACUGUGCACGGGUUGGAAGGAAUGGGUGUUCAGAAGCUGCCUGGGAGGCUCCCCCUGGGGACCCUGUCCGCACUGGGGUUGGGCCUCCCCUUUCCUUGGCCCAGGCAGCCCAGGGGAGUCCAGGAACCGGGCCUCACCUGUUUCCAGGGUGGCGCUCCAACCCCCUUUGACCGGAACUACGGGACCAAGCUGGGGGUGAAGGCCAUGCUGUGGUUGUCGGAGAAGCUGCGCGACGUUUACCGCAAGGGACGGGUGUUCGCCAAUGCCCCAGACUCAGCCUGUGUGAUCGGCCUGAAGAAGAAGGCGGUGGCCUUCAGCCCCGUCACUGAGCUCAAGAAAGACACUGAUUUCGAGCACCGCAUGCCGCGGGAGCAGUGGUGGCUGAGCCUGCGGCUCAUGCUGAAGAUGCUGGCACAAUACCGCAUCAGUAUGGCCGCCUACGUGUCAGGGGAGCUGGAGCACGUGACCCGCCGCACCCUGAGCAUGGACAAGGGCUUCUGAGGCCAUGCCCACGCCCCUCCCCAGCCCCCACCCAUGCCAGCCGCAGCACCAGGGCUCAGAUGGGGCCUGGGCUGUUGUGUCUGGAGCCUGCAGGCAGGUGGAGGCUGUGUCCCUGCUCAGCCCACCCCCUGCCUCUAUCCCUGGCCACCUGCCAGGCCUCUCUGGGGCUGGUGUCUUGAGACCAGCCUGCCAGGCCCUCCAGCAGGAGGACAGGGCGCCCUGGGGCAUCCACCUUCCUGCCCAGGGGACGCGGCGCUGUCGGUGUUUGGAGGCUGCCGCCCCCUGGCUUUGGCGCCCCAUGGGCCCUCAGCGUCUCCCCACGCUGGGCUCACUACAUGGGCCAGCCCUCACCCUACAUGGCCUGUAGGCUGCUGGCGCCUGGGUUGUGUUGAGAGGGGGACGCCCCUGGCCCUGCCUCACUGUGACCUGCUCCUGCCCACGUGCAGCACCCGUCACCUUUUCUAGAAAUAAAAUCACCUUGACUGUGGGGUGCAUCGGUCUCUGGAGAGCA